GCUAACAAUAUGAACAAUGACUUUUUAAAGGUAGGGGAGUUAACUAUGUUGCCAGAGUGAUCUUAUGCCUCAAGUGAUUCUUCUAAGUAGCUGAAGGAAUAUUGUAUGAUGCUUUGCUGCAUUUAUUUAUUUAUUUAUUUAUUUAUUUUUAUUUUUUAUUUUAGAAGCCCUAGGUAUUGAAUCCAAGGGCUUGAGAGAUAUUUGUAAGCAGUCCUUGGUAGAAAUGGUCUUGGUUAUGCAAUAAAAAGAUGAUUUUUUUUUUAGUUCCACAAUUUUAUUUCAACUAAUAGGCUCUGUGGAUCAGGAAAGUCAUUAAGAUUACAAUAGCCAUUUUUCCCCUAUAAAUUACAGCAUUUCUGAAGGGACUGAAGUGGGAAUUGCUGUAGUGUUUUGGCAAGGUAUCCAGAGUAGAUAAAUGUUGCAACUUGAUAGACAAAUGAUAAAACCUUAAAUAUAAUCAUAUUUUUAGCGUUUAUAUUUUUAGGUUCUACACUGUUUGAAAGUAUGCUUGGCAUUUUUGGUAUUAAAUCCUUUUUGAAAUUUAUAAUGCCACAACUUAAAUAUUGAAAGUGAAUCAGCUGAAUUAUGUUGUUUCCAAAAAUUGAUUUAAAUAUUCUUAACCCGUUAGCCUUUUAAUGUGAUUAACAGCUUCAUAAUCUAUUAUACUGUUUUUUCUACUUUUAGUGUUGUACAUUUGUAAAUUUCUGCAGUUAAAGAUCUGGUUUUCUAGCAUUCAAAGUGCAUUGAAACUUAAGAAUCCAUUUUUGGGUGGGGUCUGGAACUUUUGAUACUUGACUGCAUUUUCCACAUUUUGGGAUUAAAAGUAUACAAUCAAUAUUUCUCUAUUGGUCAAUAUGUAUUAGAAAAGGCAAACAUUUAAGAAACACUAGAGAAAAAUCAGUUUAGAUUGAAAAUACAGGUUGAGCUACAUACAUGGCUAUGAUCUCAGCUCUUGGGAAACAGAUGCAGGAGGAUCAUAUAUUCAAGACCAACAUGGAAAAUAAACUGGAUAUGGUUUGUGAUGGCACAUGUUAUACUGUUAUCUGAGUGACAAAGGCAGGAAGAAUUCUGUGAGUUUAAGACCAGUCUGGGAUAUAUAGUGAGUACCAGGCCAUUCAUGGUUCUGUGUGUUCCUCCUUCCCUCCCUGCCCCCUCCUCUCUUUCAGUUAGGGUUUCAUACUAGCCCAGGGCAAGUGAAACUCAUAAUUAUGUAGCCCAUGGUGGCAUCACAAUACUCCUACCUCAGCCUCAAGUGUGCUAAGUCUACUAGUAUGGACCACCAUACCUGCUUAAAUUGUUUCUUGGUAGAAAAUAUAGAAACUAUGGCAGUUGCUGUGAGACUGAUUUUAGUUUGUGUAGAGGAAAAGGAGAACAUGUGACUUUACGACUUGAUACAGAUGAGCAGGCAUACAAGCACAGGUAACUUAAACUGGUAAAGACUUUAAAGGCCAUCUAUAUCUUUAAUUUUGUUUUUGUGCCUUCAGGGAAUUCAUUUUACAGCAAAGGCUCAUGAUUGCUUCUAGAUAUCUGACUAAGGAGAUAGCUUAGAGGUGGUAUAUAUUCAUGUUUUGUCCUUAGAUUUUUUUUCAGACAACUUUUUCAUAUUAAUUUGAAACAAAAUAGCCCCUUUUAAAACUCUCCCCAUAGCAAUGGCCCAUGCUUGAUGGGCUAUAUGUUUCAAAGGACUACGAAUUUGGACUAGGAACUAUAUAGGAAUAUAGUCUUUAAUUAAAAAGCUGGAAAGAAUAUGGACCAGUUAUUUAAGUGAGUAUCUAGCUUCUUCUUAUAGUCUUGAUUAUGGAAUUCAGUUUAAAAGAUUAAAAAUAUAAAUGUGGGCUAGCAAUAUGGUGCAGUGCAUAAAAAUGCUUGCCUCUAGGCCCAAUGACCUGAGUUUGAACUCUGAGACCCAUGUAGUAGAAGGAGAGACUCUCCUGCAGACUUCCUCAUGUUAGCUGUUACCUUGCUAACCCAAUGUUAAUAAAAACUUACAAAAAGAUAAAUAUCGACUGAAGAAGUGAUUGUAACUAUCAGUAAUAAACUAUCUACUAGAAUCCUAGCCUCUGGUAAUUGCCACUAUUUCUUUUUAUGUGUGUAGGAUCAGCUCUUUAAAACCUCUACAAAUGACUGAAUUCUUUUUUUUUUUUCUUUUUUUUGCUUGUUUAGACCAGGUAAGCUUUGAACUAAUAGAAAGCUACCUGCCUUUGUCACUAUUUUAUCUUAUGUUUACAUGAAUUUGGCCUGUUUUGGUACUUCAUAUAAUUAGAAUUAUAAAGUAUCUGUCUUUUUGUGAAUCUCUUACUUCACCUAAAAUAAUCUUUCUACACUUCAUCCAUUUGGAAUUGUUUCCUUUUUAAGGCUGAAUAGUAUUUAAUUGUGUACUUGUAGUACACUGUUAUUUAUAUAAAUGCUGAUAUAUGCGUAGGUUGCUUCUCUCUUCCCAUCCUGGCUACUACUACUGUGAUCAUAUGGUACACAAAGAUUUCUUUGAGACUUUGCUUUCAGUUCUUUUGAUUUUAUACCCAGGAGUAAAAUAACAUAUAAUGAUUCUACUCUAAAUUUUUUGAGGAAGAGUCAUUUUAUGGUAGCUAUGCUGUUUUAGAUAGUUAACAGCACUAUACAAAGGUUCCAGUUUAUUCACAUCUAUAGCUAUGGCGGAAUUGUUUUUAAAAAUCAAAUUCUAGGAUAUGGCCUGAAGUCUGCUGUAAAUUGAACUUGCAUUUUUGUGAUUUUUUUAAUAAUUCACAUUUCAACAAAUAGCUUAAUAUAUUAGAAGUAUCAAUAUGCUGAUGAUAUUUCACUUUGUAGACCUGUCUAGCCUGGAACUUGCUAUAUAGUACAGGCUGUCUUCAAACCCCAUAGCAAUCCUGCUUCAGCUUCUUAAGCAUCUCUGACUGUAAAAGGAAUAUGAAUUUAUGCGUUCUAUAUUGUGCCUAUUAGGUUAGAACUUUUAUUAUUCAGAAAGCAUUAUUAAAGGGCAGUAGCAUAGCUUCUUAGCCUUAACUAUGAGGCAAAUAGUUUGAAAUUUUAGUUCUAACUUUUUUCCUAGGUUACUUAGUAAGAUGUAACAUACAAUUUCUUCUUUAUGAGAGCAAAGAUAGAGUUUUAUAAAGAGAUUUCUAAAGGAUUGU
rnacentral:lncRNA from 1 species